GUGCAGGGUUAAAUCGAUCUAACUCUGCUAAAUUCGACCUAAACUCGUGGUGUAGACCAAGGCUAAGAAGCAGAGAGCCCAAUACAGCUGAUGGCAGCACCCUCUUCUACCCUAUGCCGGGAAGAGCCACCUGGCAAGGCCUACUGAAAGGAAGAGAACAAAGUAGGCAGGCACUGCAACUUAUAGCAGUGAAGAGGACCCUAUUAUUACAUGGUAUGGGAAGGAAAGAGGGGGUGGCUGAACAAGAAUUUUUCACUCAGACUAGUAGGAUUAGUUCUGAAGCCAGUAGCUGUCUGAGAAAUAUUUCAACUCCUACACUGAGAAGAUUCUACUCUACACUGAUGUGGAGAUCAUAUACACAGAAUUAUUAAUAGUUCAGUUACUAAAUAAACCCCAUGGAACAGCAAUCUGUUGUACAGAUGACACUGGUGCCAUAACUGCAAACAAUAUGAUAAUCCUAACUACAGAUUGUAAGCACAAAUAAAAACAUUUGUAACCUGCACUGAAACUUUAACACAGAGAAGCUGACUGACCGCCUUUUCAUUUGGAGAAUCUUUGCAGCAGAAAACAGACCACCAAAAGUUAACUUCAGAAAUUAAAUUAAAUGACAAUGUUCACAGUACAUCAAAGAACAUAUGAUACAAAUAUAUUCAAACAUAUACAGAAAUAGCUGUAUACAUUUAUUACUGCAUGUGCUUAUUCUUAUCCUUUUCCAACCCAGUAAACUAAUCUAAACUGCUGAAAUGUAAUUUUGUGAC